UACAGAGGCCCCGAGCGUUGUUCGGAUUUACUGGGCGUAAAGCGGAUGUAGGUGGUCGUGUAAGUCAGAUGUGAAAGCCCUGGGCCUAACCCGGGAAAUGCAUUUGAUACUGCGCGACUGGAGUGCAGGAGAGGAAAGUGGAAUUCCUAGUGUAGGGGUGAAAUCCGUAGAUAUUAGGAGGAAUACCGAUGGCGAAGGCAACUUUCUGGCCUGUAACUGACACUGAGAUCCGAAAGCGUGGGUAGCAAACAGG
rnacentral:rRNA from 1 species